CCCGGCUGCCUGCAGCAGCGGCGGCGCUGAGGGAGUUGCGCGGGCUCUGCCCGGCGCCUCCGAUGUGGCGAGAAGCGAUGAUGGGCAGGAGGAGACGCCGUUACCUGCUGGAGCGGGCAGAGCAGGCGGGCGGCUGCGGGGCGGGCGGCGAGCAGUCCCGCUCCCGGGACUGGCUCUACGAGUCCUACUAUUGCAUGAGCCAGCAGCACCCGCUCAUCGUCUUCCUACUCCUCAUCGUGAUGGGCGCCUGCCUGGCCCUGCUCGCCGUCUUCUUCGCCUCCGGACUGGAAAUGGAAGACCAUGUGGCAUUUUUAAUAACUGUUCCAACAGCCCUAGCAAUUUUUUUUGCUAUAUUUAUCCUUGUCUGCUUAGAGCCUGUCUUUAAGAAGCUGCUCCGUAUAUUUUCACUGGUGGUCUGGGUAUGUCUUGUUGCCAUGGGAUAUCUCUUCAUGUGUUUCGGAGGAAUCAUCUGUCCCUGGGACCAGGUAUCAUUUUUCUUGUUCAUUAUUUUUGUGGUGUAUACCAUGCUGCCCUUCAACAUGAGGGACGCUAUAGUUGCCAGCGUCUUGACCUCUGCAUCUCAUACGAUUGUGCUGAGCGUCUGUCUAUCAGGUACAGCUGUUAUAAAGGAGCACUUGGUUUGGCAGAUAUUGGCGAAUGUAAUCAUUUUCAUCUGUGGAAACUUGGCUGGAGCAUACCACAAACACCUCAUGGAGCUGGCACUGCAGCAGACAUACCAGGACACGUGCAACUGCAUCAAAUCGCGGAUCAAGUUAGAAUUUGAGAAGCGGCAACAGGAGCGUCUCCUUCUUUCUUUACUGCCUGCUCACAUUGCCAUGGAAAUGAAAGCAGAGAUCAUUCAGAGGUUACAAGGUCCCAAGGCUGGUCAGCUGGAAAAUACGAACAACUUCCACAACUUGUAUGUCAAACGGCACACCAAUGUAAGCAUCUUGUAUGCUGAUAUUGUGGGAUUCACUCGCCUGGCCAGUGACUGCUCACCAGGGGAACUGGUGCACAUGCUGAAUGAGCUGUUUGGCAAGUUUGAUCAAAUUGCAAAGGAAAAUGAAUGUAUGAGAAUUAAAAUCCUAGGUGACUGCUAUUACUGUGUUUCUGGACUACCUAUAUCUCUUCAAAAUCACGCCAAGAAUUGUGUGAAAAUGGGACUGGACAUGUGUGAAGCCAUUAAGAAAGUGAGAGAUGCAACUGGAGUUGAUAUUAAUAUGCGUGUAGGAGUGCACUCUGGAAAUGUACUUUGUGGAGUUAUUGGGCUACAGAAGUGGCAGUACGAUGUGUGGUCGCAUGAUGUCACUCUGGCAAAUCACAUGGAAGCUGGAGGGGUCCCCGGCCGUGUUCACAUCACUUCAGUCACCUUGGCACAUUUGAAUGGAGCUUACAAAGUGGAAGAUGGGGAUGGAGAUGUGAGGGACCCAUAUCUGAAAGAGCAUAAUGUUAAGACUUACUUUGUAAUCAAUCCUAAGGGAGAGAAGCGAAGUCCUCAGCACCACAUUAGACCUCGACAUACUCUUGAUGGAGCCAAAAUGAGAGCUUCUGUCCGCAUGACCCGGUACCUGGAAUCUUGGGGAGCAGCCAAGCCAUUUGCACACUUGCACCACAGGGACAGCAUGACCACUGAAAACGGCAAGAUUAGCACAACAGAUGUUCCCAUGGGGCAGUAUCAUUUUCAGCGUUGCAGAGAGAGAACAAAAUCUCAGAAAAGAAGAUUUGAAGAGGAACUGAAUGAGAGGAUGAUUCAGGCCAUUGAUGGAAUUAACGCUCAAAAGCAGUGGCUUAAAUCUGAAGACAUUCAAAGAAUAUCACUUCUUUUCUAUAAUAAGACUCUGGAAAAAGAAUACAGAGCAACCACUCUGCCUGCAUUUAAGUACUACGUGACUUGCGCCUGUCUCAUAUUCUUCUGCAUUUUUGUUGUGCAGAUUCUGGUAUUGCCAAAAACAUCUAUUCUUGGAAUUUCAUUUGGGGUCGCGUUUCUCUUGCUCUCUUUCAUUUUAUUUAUCUGCUUUGCUGGACAGCUUUUGCAAUGUAGCAAGAAAGCAUCAGCUUCACUGUUGUGGAUCCUGAAAUCAUCUGGAAUUAUUGCAAACCGUCCUUGGCCACGGAUCACUCUCACACUGACAACCACUGCUAUAAUAUUAACUAUGGCUGUGUUCAACAUGUUUUUCCCGGAUAAUGCUGUGACAGCUUUUCCCUCAGAUCUUAAUUCGUCAAAUGCAAGUUUUCCUAAUUUGAGUAAUCAGACACGGUGGUGUAUACAAAACAACUGUUUUUUCCUACCGUAUUUUAUAUACAGCUGCAUAUUAGGGCUCAUUUCCUGUUCCGUUUUUCUGAGGAUAAAUUAUGAGCUGAAAAUGGUGAUCAUGUUGAUUGCAUUAGUGGGCUACAACGUUAUCCUUCUGCACACUCACGGGUCCAUGCUGGAUGACUACAGCAAAUUUAUGUACGCAACAGCACCCCUGAAAAGGCCUGGAGUACUGAAAGACCUGAAGACCAUGGGCUCAGUGUCUUUGUUUAUAUUCUUCGUCACAUUACUGGUUUUGGGUAGACAGAAUGAAUAUUACUGUAGGUUAGACUUCCUGUGGAAGAACAAGUUCAAAAAAGAGCGGGAGGAGAUUGAAACCAUGGAGAACCUAAAUCGGGUGCUUCUGGAGAAUGUGCUUCCAGCCCACGUAGCUGAACACUUCUUGGCAAGAAACCUGAAGAACGAGGAUCUAUAUCAUCAGUCAUAUGACUGUGUCUGUGUCAUGUUUGCCUCUAUUCCGGAUUUCAAGGAAUUUUAUACAGAAUCUGAUGUAAAUAAGGAAGGCUUGGAAUGUCUCAGGCUGCUAAAUGAGAUCAUUGCUGACUUCGAUGAUUUAUUGUCUAAGCCAAAGUUCAGUGGAGUUGAAAAGAUAAAAACCAUUGGAAGCACGUACAUGGCAGCAACAGGAUUGAGUGCUACACCCAACCAAGAACAGUAUCAGGAACCUGAACGACAGUAUAUGCACAUAGGAACCAUGGUGGAGUUUGCAUUUGCCUUAGUGGCGAAACUGGAUGUCAUAAACAAACAUUCUUUCAAUGACUUCAAGUUACGAGUAGGUAUUAACCAUGGACCUGUAAUAGCUGGAGUAAUUGGAGCUCAAAAACCACAAUAUGAUAUCUGGGGCAAUACAGUAAAUGUGGCCAGCAGGAUGGACAGCACUGGUGUCUUAGAUAAAAUACAGGUUACAGAAGAGACAAACAAUGUCCUGCAAACACUGGGGUACAUGAGCACUUGCAGAGGAAUCAUAAAUGUAAAAGGAAAAGGAGAACUGAAGACGUACUUUGUACAUACAGAAAUGACAAGAUCCCUUUCACAAGGGAAUGUGGCAUCUUGAAGAAUGCUUGUACAUGUCAUUGAUACCAUAUUUUCAGGAAAGUAUCACGCACUUUUUAACUACAUUUUGGCCCUUAACAUGCGUGCUAUUUUCUGAUAUGUGGCACUUAUUUUAACAUGGCUGCAGAAUAGUCCCAUGAGCCAUCAUUUUGCACCUUGAUAUUCCUUUGUUCAAGGACAGUUGUGAUGUACACUAUAGGACUGGAAGAUUGUACUGCAAAUUGCACUGUUAUUCAAGACAAGAAAAGAAGGAAUAGGAAUUAAAAGGAGGUAACUCAUCCUGAAGGGACUAAAAAGAGAUGUUGGUGACAAAUGUGGGGAAAAAAGGCAAUAAAGCUAGGGGUGCAUACUAUUUCCUGAUGCAUGGUGUUUUCUGGAAAAUACAGUCGCUCCCCAAUAGCAUCCACUAAUCUGGUAUUAAAGCAUACAGUAUUUGUAAAUAAGUUUACUCGAUCCACACAUGGUUUGGAUGUGAUCACCAGUUGCAUCUCAUAGCCAGGGACACGUUGGGUGGCUUGCUGGCAUUCUUUCUGAAGAGAGAACUAACAAUGCUGGAAUAGUUUUGUACAAACGUGUCAAAUGUUUUGAAGCUAUUGUCUUUUGUAAGGUUAAUUCAUUAAAAGUUUAUAUGUAAUUUGUCUUACUGUUGCUGUCUCUUAGUUUUGCUUCCUUCUGUGGCUUCUGUCCCUCUACACCUGCGCGUCUUCUGCUGCAGCUGCUGCAUUUUAUUCAGUGAUUACAUAUUGAAGCAGGCUGCGGCCAGCUAUCUCUGUAGCUUAGGUCAUUAAUAUCUGUAAGAUUUGCUAUUGCCUUUCAGAAAUUGAAUCAACUCUAUUGUCUUCAGUCUUUCUUGGUAUCCUAGGCACUUCGUAGUCAUUGGUCCCUAGGUGAUAGAGAAGACUUCAAGUCCACAAACAUGAACGAGAAUGAAGUGGAGGAUACUGGAGACAUUAGCAGUGUUGCUACUCUACAAAGGGCCUGCAGUGCUUAAACAGAAACUAAGAGAAGCUGUAGGAAAGAGGAAACACUGUGUUUUGUUCGAGUUUACGCCUUCCAUGUUGAUGCUGUAAUUCAUAGGUCGCUAGCAAGUCAUAAAGGACAUGAGUUUCAAAAGCAGAAUGCAAGAGUGCUCAACAACAUCAGGAAGCAGCCACACAAUGAAUAUAAGAGUGAUUCACUCUGAUCUGGGAAAAUGAAACCUAAACAUGAACUCUUUGGGAGUCUGCUGGAUUUCUUUAUCAAAGACAAUGCUAUGCGCCAAUUUAUGGAGGACUACCGAGGGGCAGGAAGAAAGACUAGGCUUGCAGAUAUUUUUCUUGACUACAAAAGUAGUUGGGAUCACCUGUAAAUAAAUGCUAUUUAAAUGCUAUUUCCAGAAGCAGACAUUAGCGUCCUAUUUAUCCUGUAUGCAAAGCAUUAUUAAUUCUCUUCAUAUUCCUUUAUGGUUUAUCUACUUCAUAAACUGUCUACAGACCUUACCUUUCUCCACUGAGGCACAGGUAGCAGUUCAGCCUGCUCAUUUCUAAACAGAUGGCUGUGCACAUUCAUAGGCAGAGGUGUUGAAAGACUGUCAUAUUGUUUUCAGAACCUUGUAUCAGGACAAACAAUUAGCCAUAUCAUCAGGAAUAUUUAUAUACUGACAGAUUUACUGUUUUACAUGAUGAUUACCUUGUCCUUUGAUAAUUAAUUUUCCUCUUGGUUGUACUUCAGUAUGAAGCUUCUUUUCUUCCUGCAAGAGACAGUCUGUCACCCAUUCAGGGCCUUGAAGAAACAAGCACUUGUGUGAAAUGAAUGGCUUGACUUGAGGACCAAACCUAUUACAGCGGAAACUGGACAGUUUUAGAGUCAUCUGUGUUUCAGCUCCUUUUUCAAGGAUGAUGGCUCACAGCAUUUGUUGGAAAGGCUGUCUCUCUUUCAUGGCUCAGGAAUACAUGACAUUCUGAUACAUGCUGAGGCCAAACAGCAAGGACAGGAGCUGAACUGCUGAGCCUUGAUUUAACAGCUGCCUAGCCAUCUCUGCUGUAAGUGCCACCAGCUUGAAACAGACAGGAGGGGUUUCCACUUACGAUUCCAUUUUUAAAAGACCAGAGGGUUACAACGAAAAACUUCACCGAUGUGACAGAGAGCAUGCAAGGAGUCGUGGUCUUAACGUGAAUGAUGAGAGUAUGGGAGACGCACAGACAAGCACACAGAGCAGCAGAUCCGAAGUCAUGCAAGGAUUAAUUGUGUGCAGGCAGAAUUCUACAGGAAAAAUGGCAUCACCUGCCUAUUGGAAAAACCUUCUCCAAGACUGGAUCCGUGCUAAAAUCUCUUACAGCUGACAUUGCCAGCAGUAUUUGUGUGCACAGAAACAUGUCAAAAUGCAAAAUAGUG